UACGUAGGGAGCAAGCGUUGUCCGGAAUCAUUGGGCGUAAAGCGCGCGUAGGCGGCCCCGUAAGUCCGCUGUGAAAGUCAAAGGCUCAACCUCGAGACGCCGAUGGAAACCCUCAGACUAGAGUCCGGAAGAGGAGAGUGGAAUUCCUGGUGUAGCGGUGAAAUGCGCAGAUAUCAGGAAGAACACCCGUGGCUAAGGCGGCUCUCUAGUACGGUACUGACGCUGAGACGCGAAAGCGUGGGGAGCAAACAGG
rnacentral:rRNA from 1 species